rnacentral:lncRNA from 1 species
GCUCAUGUAAGUGAAAAAUCCAGAAAUAGCUCUGGAUUCAAAGGCUUGAACAAUGUCAAGAGAAAUCUGUCACCCUGACAAUGCUUUUUGCAUUAAUAUUUGAUUGAAAACCACACUUCCUUCUAGGAUUCCAGCCAUGAAAUUUUCAUGUCAUUUCAAUAGAAUCAUUGAAUCUUUGGAAAAAUACAUUGUCUCUGUGUCCGGCUGAAAAAAUGCUAUUGUUAACUUGGGUUAAUACAUCAAGUAAAUUGUUCUCUUGGUGUAUAUUUUAAAAUAACAUAAUAGAUGUUUUCCCCCUUAUUGAGAACUACAGUUAACCAGAUAAAGCCUUCAUACCAGAAAUGAUUCAGCAAUCUAAAAUGAAUCAGUAGGAGUUUCCUUGUGGCUUAAUGGGUUAAGGAUCUGGCAUUGUCACUGCUGUGGCUCUGGUUAAUGCUGUGAUGUGGGUUCAAUCCUUGGUCCAGGAACUUCUGCAUGCUGUGGGCACAGCCAGAAAAAUUUUAAUUUUUAAAGAUAAAAUGAAUGAUUUGGGGUUUUGGGGGGAUGCAUUUUUGUGAACUGUUGGCAAGAGUGGUUUCAUCAUUCCUCAACUCCUCAGUCCCCAUAGAUUCAUGGAGGUGAUAGACAAAACAUGAGUUUCAAUGUAUCUUCUUAGGCUAUGACUAUAAGCAGACUCCUGGGAAUGUCUACACCUGUCUCUUUACUGAGCAUUUAGGUCUUACCAAAAUAAUAGCACCUCCUUUUUUUUUUUUUUCUUUUGAUUGCCAGGAGGUAUGAGUAUGAGGUUUGUUUUUUUUUUAAGCUCAAUGAAUUGUAUUACAUUUAUAGUUGUACAGCAAUCAUUACAACCCAAUUUUAUAGCAUUUCCACCCCAACUCCCAGCCCAUUCCUCCACCCCCCACCCUGUCUCCUUUGGAAACCAUAAGUUUUUCAAAGUCUGUGAGUCAGUGUCUGUUCUGCAAAGUUCAUUGUGACCUUUUUUUAGAUUCCACGUGUAAGUGAUAGCAUAUGAUGUUAGUGCCUCGCUGUCUGACUGAUUUCACUUAGCAUGAUAAUUUCUAGGUCCAUCCAUGUUGCUGCAAAUGCCAUUAUUUCUUUCCUUUUAAUGGCCGAGUAAUAUUCCAUUGUGUAUAUGUACCACAUCUUCUUGAUCCACUCCUCUGUUGAUGGGCAUUUAGGUUGUUUCCAUGUCUUGGCUAUUGUAUAUAUUGCUGCAAUGAAUAUUGGAGUACAUGUAUCUUUUUGAGUCAUGAUUUUCGCUGGAUAGAUGCCCAGGAGUGGGAUUGCUGGAUCAAAAGGUAAUUCUAUUUUUAGUUUUCUGAGGAAUCUUUAUACUGUUUUCCACAGUGGUUGCACCAAUUUACAUUCCCACCAACAGUGUAACAGGGUUCCUUUUUCUCUACACCCUCUCCAGCAUUUUUUGUUUGUAGGCUUUGAUGACGCCCAUUCUGGCAGGUGUAAGGAUACACCUCCUUUUUUAGGAUUGCUGCUUUGGGUCUAGUGAUGAAGUCUAAAUGUCACAUUAGGAAAUUGAGUCCUCUUGCACCUAAAUUAUUGUUACUAGAAAUGAUUGCAAGAACACAGAGAUGAAAGAAAAAUAAAAGGACUGAUACCAGCUUUGGUAUAGUAAAUGUGUAAAACUUGAUAGCUAUUUAUAAUGAUAGCUGAUAUUCAGCUGUCAUUUGCAUGUGUGUGUUGGUUUAGGAGAGAACCAAUAUAAAAUUAAGAGAUUGUGUUCAAUUGAGAUUAAAUUUAGAUAAGGUCAAGAAUUAAUUCAGAGAAUAGUUGGUGUAUUAGGUGUUGGAAUUUAAGCUUCUUGGAGUUCCUGCUGUGGUGCAGAGGAAACGGAUCCAACUAGUAUCCAUGAGGACGCAGGUUUGAUCCCUGGCCCCACUCAUUGGGUGGGGGAUCCAGCAUUGCCGAGUUGCUGUGGCUAUGGCAUAGGCUGGCAGCUGCAGCUCUGAAAAAGAAAAAAAAAAAAAAAA